rnacentral:rRNA from 1 species
UCUGUAUUUCUUUAUCUAAUAUAUACUGUCUGAGUAAAAACUAAAAUGAAUCAAAACUUUCAACAACGGAUCUCUUGGUUCUGGCAUCGAUGAAGAACGCAGCGAAAUGCGA